rnacentral:rRNA from 1 species
CCUACGGGGGGCAGCAGUGGGGAAUAUUGGGCAAUGGGCGAAAGCCUGACCCAGCAACGCCGCGUGAAGGAAGAAGGCUUUCGGGUUGUAAACUUCUUUUGACAGGGAAGAGCAGAAGACUGUACCUGUAGAAAAAGCCACGGCUAACUACGUGCCAGCAGCCGCGGUUAUACGUAGGUGGCAAGCGUUGUCCGGAAUUACUGGGUGUAAAGGGCGUGUAGGCGGGAUGACAAGUCAGAUGUGAAAGCCUGGGGCUCAACCACCGAACUGCAUUUGAAACUGUUGCUCUUGAGUAUCGGAGAGGCAGGCGGAAUUCCUAGUGUAGCGGUGAAAUGCGUAGAGAUUAGGAGGAACACCAGUGGCGAAGGCGGCCUGCUGGACGACAACUGACGGUGAGGCGCGAAAGCGUGGGGAGCAAACAGGAUUAGAUACCCGGGUAGUC